AUUGAACGCUGGCGGCAGGCUUAACACAUGCAAGUCGAGCGAGCGGCGGACGGGUGAGUAAUGUCUGGGAAACGGCCUGAUGGAGGGGGAUAACUAAUGGAAACGGUAGCUAAUACCGCAAACCAUCAGAUGUGGCGAGAUGGGAUUAGCUAGUAGGUGGGGUAGUGGCUCACCUAGGCGGCGAGCCAUAGCGGGUCUGAGAGGAUGACCGGCCACACUGGAACUGGGACACGGUCCAGACUCCUACGGGAGGCAGCAGUGGGGAAUAUGGCACAAUGGGCGCAAGCCUGAUGCAGCCAUGCCGCGUGUGUGAAGAAGGCCUUCGGGUUGUAAAGCACUUUCAGCGAGGAGGCGUUACUCGCAGAAGAAGCACCGGCUAACUCCGUGCCAGCAGCCGCGGUAAUAC
rnacentral:rRNA from 1 species